rnacentral:rRNA from 1 species
GAUGAACGCUGGCGGCGUGCCUAAUACAUGCAAGUCGAGCGAACGGACGAGAAGCUUGCUUCUCUGAUGUUAGCGGCGGACGGGUGAGUAACACGUGGAUAACCUACCUAUAAGACUGGGAUAACUUCGGGAAACCGGAGCUAAUACCGGAUAAUAUUUUGAACCGCAUGGUUCAAAAGUGAAAGACGGUCUUGCUGUCACUUAUAGAUGGAUCCGCACUGCAUUAGCUAGUUGGUAAGGUAACGGCUUACCAAGGCAACGAUGCAUAGCCGACCUGAGAGGGUGAUCGGCCACACUGGAACUGAGACACGGUCCAGACUCCUACGGGAGGCAGCAGUAGGGAAUCUUCCGCAAUGGGCGGAAGCCUGACGGAGCAACGCCGCGUGAGUGAUGAAGGUCUUCGGAUCGUAAAACUCUGUUAUUAGGGAAGAACAUAUGUGUAAGUAACUGUGCACAUCUUGACGGUACCUAAUCAGAAAGCCACGGCUAACUACGUGCCAGCAGCCGCGGUAAUACGUAGGUGGCAAGCGUUAUCCGGAAUUAUUGGGCGCAAAGCGCGCGUAGGCGGUUUUUUAAGUCUGAUGUGAAAGCCCACGGCUCAACCGUGGAGGGUCAUUGGAAACUGGAAAACUUGAGUGCAGAAGAGGAAAGUGGAAUUCCAUGUGUAGCGGUGAAAUGCGCAGAGAUAUGGAGGAACACCAGUGGCGAAGGCGACUUUCUGGUCUGUAACUGACGCUGAUGUGCGAAAGCGUGGGGAUCAAACAGGAUUAGAUACCCUGGUAGUCCACGCCGUAAACGAUGAGUGCUAAGUGUUAGGGGGUUUCCGCCCCUUAGUGCUGCAGCUAACGCAUUAAGCACUCCGCCUGGGGAGUACGACCGCAAGGUUGAAACUCAAAGGAAUUGACGGGGACCCGCACAAGCGGUGGAGCAUGUGGUUUAAUUCGAAGCAACGCGAAGAACCUUACCAAAUCUUGACAUCCUUUGACAACUCUAGAGAUAGAGCUUUCCCCUUCGGGGGACAAAGUGACAGGUGGUGCAUGGUUGUCGUCAGCUCGUGUCGUGAGAUGUUGGGUUAAGUCCCGCAACGAGCGCAACCCUUAAGCUUAGUUGCCAUCAUUAAGUUGGGCACUCUAAGUUGACUGCCGGUGACAAACCGGAGGAAGGUGGGGAUGACGUCAAAUCAUCAUGCCCCUUAUGAUUUGGGCUACACACGUGCUACAAUGGACAAUACAAAGGGCAGCGAAACCGCGAGGUCAAGCAAAUCCCAUAAAGUUGUUCUCAGUUCGGAUUGUAGUCUGCAACUCGACUACAUGAAGCUGGAAUCGCUAGUAAUCGUAGAUCAGCAUGCUACGGUGAAUACGUUCCCGGGUCU